GCAGUAUUUAAAGGGCCGGCGUAUAACACGCACCCACGAUUUCUCCCUAUUUUCAGGGAGAAAAAGUGCGUGUUAUACGCCGAUAAAUACGGUAUAUAUCUACUAGUACUCUCCAUUUAUCUUAUUUCUUUUUUAUCUGGAAGGAAAUGAUGCGAUACAUACAUCUGAAUUUUGCAAAGUAAUAGUAAAUAAACUGCCAAUUGCUUUGGUGAGACUUUUUACAAAUUGCUAACUUUACCAGGCUAAACUAACAUAUAAUUUUUUCCUUUGAAAUUACAUGUGUAUACAAAAAGCAAAAAAAUAUCUGCUGUAGUGUUUAACACAAGUGGCUAAUAUUUGUUAAAUUACAUAGCAAAUACUUAUCCCUUUUAAGUACUAACAUGUGCCAAAAAGGCUGAGCUGGCUUGGCAGAUAUUCUCACUGUGUAUCAUGUACAGUAGGUAAACCCCAAUUUAUCCAUUUGAUUAAUUACUCAUGGGUCAUUGUUGUUUACCUUGCCCUACCUGUUAUAAGUUAUUUCUGUGCAUCUGUUAGAACAGGUAAUAUGUAGUGAUGUCCCGAACGGUUUGCCGAACGGUUCGCGAACGGUUCGCCGCGGACUCAUCAUUGAGUAAACUUUGACCCUGUACCUCACAGUCAGCAGACACAUUCCAGCCAAUCAGCAGCAGACGCUCCC